AUUGAACGCUGGCGGCAUGCUUUACACAUGCAAGUCGAACGGUAACAGGCCGCAAGGUGCUGACGAGUGGCGAACGGGUGAGUAAUGCAUCGGAACGUGCCCAGUCGUGGGGGAUAACUGCUCGAAAGAGCAGCUAAUACCGCAUACGAUCUAUGGAUGAAAGCGGGGGAACGUAAGGCCUCGCGCGAUUGGAGCGGCCGAUGUCAGAUUAGGUAGUUGGAGGGGUAAAGGCUCACCAAGCCAACGAUCUGUAGCUGGUCCGAGAGGACGACCAGCCACACUGGGACUGAGACACGGCCCAGGCUCCUACGGGAGGCAGCAGUGGGGAAUUUUGGACAAUGGGGGCAAGCCUGAUCCAGCAAUGCCGCGUGCAGGAAGAAGGCCUUCGGGUUGUAAACUGCUUUUUUACGGAACGAAACGGUCUGGGUUAAUACCCUGGGCUAAUGACGGUACCGUAAGAAUAAGCACCGGCUAACUACGUGCCAGCCGCCGCGGUAACAC
rnacentral:rRNA from 1 species